rnacentral:rRNA from 1 species
CCCUGGUGUAAGCCCGUAGGGAGGGACAUAGGCAAAUCCGUGUCCCACAUAUCCUGAGAGGUGGUGCGUAGCCGUAGCGGCGAAAUCCAUGAUCCUAUGCUGCCGAGAAAAGCCUCUAGCGAGCUGGUACAUGGCCCGUACCCCAAACCGACACAGGUGGUCAGGUAGAGAAUACUAAGGCGAUCGAGAGAACUGUGGUUAAGGAACUCGGCAAAAUGCCCCCGUAACUUCGGGAGAAGGGGGACCAGUCCUGGUGACGACAUUUACUGUCUGAGCUGGGGUUGGUCGCAGAGACCAGAGAGAAGCGACUGUUUACUAAAAACACAGGUCCGUGCGAAGUCGUAAGACGAUGUAUACGGACUGACGCCUCCCCGGCGCUGGAAGGUUAAGAGGACCGGUCAGCCACUUCGGUGGCGAAGCUGAGAAUUUAAGCCCCAGUAAACGGCGGUGGUAACUAUAACCAUCCUAAGGUAGCGAAAUUCCUUGUCGGGUAAGUUCCGACCUGCACGAAUGGCGUAACGACUUCUCUGCUGUCUCAACCACAGACUCGGCGAAAUUGCAGUACGAGUAAAGAUGCUCGUUACGCGCGGCAGGACGAAAAGACCCCGGGACCUUCACUAUAGCUUGGUAUUGGUGUUCGGUUCGGUUUGUGUAGGAUAGGUGGGAGACUGUGAAACUCGCACGCCAGUGUGGGUGGAGUCAUUGUUGAAAUACCACUCUGACCGUAUUGGACAUCUAACCUCGGACCAUGAUCUGGUUCAGGGACAGUGCCUGGUGGGUAGUUUAACUGGGGCGGUUGCCUCCCAAAAAGUAACGGAGGCGCCCAAAGGUUCCCUCAGCCUGGUUGGCAAUCAGGUGUUGAGUGUAAGUGCACAAGGGAGCUUGGCUGUGAGACGUACAUGUCGAGCAGGGACGAAAGUCGGGACUAGUGAUCCGGCACCGGCAAGUGGAAGCGGUGUCGCUCAACGGAUAAAAGGUACCCCGGGGAUAACAGGCUGAUCUUCCCCAAGAGUCCAUAUCGACGGGAUGGUUUGGCACCUCGAUGUCGGCUCGUCGCAUCCUGGGGCUGGAGUAGGUCCCAAGGGUUGGGCUGUUCGCCCAUUAAAGCGGCACGCGAGCUGGGUUUAGAACGUCGUGAGACAGUUCGGUCUCUAUCCGCCGCGCGCGUAAGAAACUUGAGGAAACCUGUCCCUAGUACGAGAGGACCGGGGCGGACGAACCUCUGGUGUGCCAGUUGUUCCACCAGGAGCACCGCUGGUUAGCUACGUUCGGAAGGGAUAACCGCUGAAAGCAUCUAAGCGGGAAGCCUGUUCCAAGAUGAGGUUUCUCACCACCUAGCGUGGUUAAGGCCCCCC